rnacentral:rRNA from 1 species
UACGGGGGGGGGCAAGCGUUGUUCGGAAUUACUGGGCGUAAAGGGCGCGUAGGCGGUUCGAUAAGUCAGCUGUGAAAACCAUGGGCUUAACUCAUGGCCUGCAGUUGAGACUGUCGGGCUGGAGUGUGGGAGAGGAGAGUGGAAUUCCUGGUGUAGCGGUGAAAUGCGUAGAUAUCAGGAGGAACACCGGUGGCGAAGGCGGCUCUCUGGACCACAACUGACGCUGGAGGCGCGAAAGCUAGGGGAGCAAACAGG